rnacentral:tRNA from 1 species
ACGAAAGGGUAUUAAAACUGAUUACGGAUCAGGAGGUUGGGGGUUCGAAUCCUCCCGUGCGUA